CUUUAUUGAAAAAUCGAAGAAAAAUCCCUUUUGUUAUAAGUAAGAAAGAGCCUACUACCUAAUAGCGCCCCAUGGCUUCCCUUUCAUUGUGAAAUAUCUCCCCUUCUCUUUAUCUUUAACAGUACUUGUGUAAUAGGAACUCUCUGAAGUAAGAAAACGGCUACGCGUUACUAAUUGUUAGCUAGGGCGCUCAUCAAUUGCACUUUCCUUAGAGCAUAAGACUCUUUGCUUUGUUGUGAAUCCUAUCCUGAAUGUAGGAGCGUCAAUCAAUGACUAUCUUCCCUUUAUCCCUUUUAUACUGGUAAAUGGAAGGUAAAGUGGAGUUAAGGAAGGUGGCAUAGGCUCUUCGGGGUGAACUAAUGGAAUAGAUAAGCACGAAUAGAGUGUACGUUAGGAAGUCUCCCUAAUGCUGAUGAUCAAACGUUCCUUCGGAUAUGUAUGAGAAGGAAGCCUCUCAGAGACAUUGACUCUUAGAUAGAUACCAGCAUAGUCUUUUAAUUAACAUUUUCUUGAACUUUGUUGCAACCCGUAAAGCAAUCGAUAGCUUAAUAGAGCAGCGAAAGAAGAUCAGGUAAUCUUUCCUAACUAGCAAGUGGAAGAUCAUUCCAGGCUCUAAUCCAGUCUCUGAUGGCGUAGCUGAUGUGUCAUGCUAGGAAGCUGAGCUAGGGCAUUGAUUCUUUCUCAACGGGAUUGAACACCUUCCUCUAUGCUAACAGAAGUGGAGAGACCGAGGUCUAAGUAAGAAGUAUGAGAUUGUCUAGAAUGAAAGGCGUCAGAAGUAUGGAUUUGUGCUGCCUUCUGGCUUUAAUAAAGUGGCAUCCUCUUCUUGAUUGACCGGUGCUGUCGAGAGAAUUCGUUAGGAUAGCUAGAAUCAGAGAAUGAGUUGUAAAAAUUAUGACCUUUUGGCCUAUAAAUGCCCAAAUAGCCUGAGUUGCCCGAAUAGCCUAAAACCUGACGAAGAACCUGCAAAUAGUGCAUGAACCUAGAGUUGGUCUUAAGAAGGGAGUUUGCUGAAUCGUGUUACAAUGCUUUCUAUGCCUUUUAUCGAUAGGUAGAGGUAAAGAUCCUCCCUGUCAGAUGUUGAGAAAGCUUGACAUCGAGGUCAUACAAUGGCUUCUCCAAUAAAUAGACUCUCUAUGGCAGGUACUGGAACCAGACCAGGCUUUAGGAAGGCACUAACCCAAUCGCUCCUAGUUGACCGAUUGGAUUGCAUCUCCUUGCCUUGAGACAUUCUUCUCUACCUUUCCAUCUCAUAUAGGUUCAAAACGACGAAAUAGUCUUUUAGGUAAUAAGAGGUCAAGCAAGGCGCAACAAAUCUCACCACUAUAGCUGGAAAAAAACAUAAACAAUGACUCUCAAGAAGCACUCACAUGAGUGAAAUGAGGUUGACGUCGAAAAAUACGGUGUUGAUACUCUUUUUCGAAAAUAGAGAAGUGCUUUUACUCAUAAAAGGUAGUUAUGCCAAAAAACACGGGGUUGAAGCUACUUGGUGACAUUUCUUUGACCCAAAGCCAUGGCAUCCACUCGAAUUUCUUUAAGGCUGAAAAUCAUCACCAUUUCCAUAAACCGACCAACGCCCUUCCUUUAAUAGAAAGAAGAAAUGGGCUUCUUAAAAUCAACUUAUGUUCGAGAUUACUCUGACCUGAACUGGAACAAGUAGUCCCUUUGUAUUCAGCGAAAUUGCCUUCUUGCUUUAAAGCUGACUUGGCAGCAAUAGAUGCUUCGUUUCUUUUGCUGCGAAGUCCGAUUUUCUCUCCGAUCGGUAACCGAUUCGAGGAGUCGAAGAAAGUUUGAGUGCGGAAGUGCUUUUCCUUGCUCAAUCGAAGUCUAUUGCCACUUCAUCG
rnacentral:lncRNA from 1 species